rnacentral:tRNA from 1 species
AGGAAGACAACUGGAACUGCUAAUUCCUCCCUCCAUAUUUAAAAAUAUGGCUUCCUU